CCCAACACUCACCUCCACGUCCUGAAUGAUGAGAGCAGAGGUGUGACACUGACUGCCCCACCAGGGGGCCACCACCUCACAACAUGCUGCCACCCAGGAGUGGCGCCCCUCCUCCCCAGCCUUCAGUCCUGCCCAUACCCCACACCCACCACACACACACACACAGAAGGGGCCGGGGGGAAGGUCAUCCCGGGAUGGGUCACACUUGGGGCCUGGCCCUGGAGUGGCCCGCUCUGGGCUGCCCUGUGUUACCUCGGGGUUCCUUGGCCAACACGGACAGAGGCGUUGGAGGUGGUCUCUGAGCCAACGCCCACAGCGAGCAGGAAGACCGUCCCUGUUUGCUUCCCUAACUUCCAUGCCUUCAGAAGGCUGUGCACAACAAGACCGUAUGUUGCUCUGUCGAGCGUCUCUGGUCAAGUGAGCAGGACUGGGGUCUGUGACCAGGAACUGGGCACCAGGUCACAAUUCAGGUUCUACUGGGCGUGUCACCAGCGACAUCACUUCCUGAAGGUUCCAUUUCGUGGGUCCCUCCCUGCAUUCAGACUCAUCCACAUGCCCCUCUGGGCUGCCGACCCACCGCCCAUCCUCCUGGACCCCUUGCCGUGCAUGACUACACAGAUCUCCACCAGAGCCCUCCCCUCGCUCUUUGGCAAUGUCCUUAGGGUCCCAGCUCUGAGGAGACAGAUGAGCUCAGACCUCUUUUUCUCACCAGUUCCCUGUCCUGCUGAACCCACAGUGCCUCCCAGGAGCUACCCAAUGUCCCAACCUGCACAGGCAGGGUCAUGCCAGACAUUUCUCCCUAGGGACAUCCUCAGGGAUAUAUGGAUGACACCUCCAACUCCUCCUGGGAGCUGGUGUCAUGUGUGUCUGCACACAGGCUCAGAGAUGGAACAAUGCCAACCAGGCUUGGCAUGGGGCGUGGAACACCAUGCAAGUCAGGCCCGGGUUCGGGCCAUGAGAUCUUGAGCAAGUCAUCCCCCCUCUAGGCCAUUUUCAGGUGUGCACCUUGAAGGGGUGGCAAUGACAGGAGACCCGGGUGUUGUCAUCUACUCCCAAGGCAUCCACCUUGCAGAGGUCUCCGUUCUAUGAGGACCAUACCCGAGGGCCUCCCGUUGACAUAUGUGGUGGGCAGCCUUGUAUGGUGAACCCAGUAAUCCCUCCUAGGAAGCACAUACCCUGCUACCACUGCGUGGUGUGAACAGCACAGCCAAGGGGAUGUGCUGUCACAGCCACAUUGCAUGAAAAGCAGUCACUUCCCCACUUUUCAUGCUUUCUGUACAAAAGGGUCCUGACACUGCCCAGGGCAGUGAGCUUGGUAGCCCAUAUCAGUGUGUAUGUGUCACGGCUUCUACGCACAUAUUCUAUUUUUCAGACAUAAGGCAGUGGGGUUUGGAUGCAGCAAGAAAAUGGAUACGUUCAUCCAUUUUGUUCACGGUGUGACAUAUUUACGGAACAAAUGUCAUGGUUAAGAUCACAGAAUAGGGAGCUACUAGCUCAUUUUCAACAUCCAGCUUUAACCACUUGGUAGGCAUUUGACUGCGGGCAAGUCACCGACCUUGGUAGCACAGUUUCUCCACCUGUCCCUUGGCCGUCAUCGUAGGAUCUUGAUUAUGUGAGGUCACAGAGAGCAUUGAAGGCGUUACCCUGGGAAGAAGGCUUGGAAGGCCUGGCACAUCACAAGUGCUUCAUCUAGUUAGUAUAAAUCUAUUGUUACAUUCCUCUAACCUGUCUGUAAGCUCCAGAGGGCACAGAGCUAAGGGAGUCAAUGCAGAAUUUCCAGAACCUCCCACCUAGCCUUAGUCCAUUUACAGAUCAGUGGUUGUAACUAGUGCAGGGCCUUGCAACCUCCGGGAUAAGGGGUGGAAAGGAAAUGGCCAUUCUCUCCUUCCGUCCAUUCCUGGUAUGAACUGGUCUGGCAUCUGCCAAGCACCAAGGACCCACUCACGGAGUUCCUGCUAGAAGGGGUGGGUAGGGGAAGGGGAGCACCAUCCGCGGCUGGACUAGAUGGGUGGUGCUGAGCCUGGCUAGCGACUGAGAGCCAGGAACAGUUUGCCUUCAUGUGGGAAGGGUGGCCGAGGAUGUUCGCUGUCUAUCUGCAGGGACACCCCUGCAGUUCCAACAUAUGUCACGGACUUGUAGCCCAGGAGUUGGCAGCAUGGGAGAAACUGCCAACAGUGCACCUGUAUCAUCAUAUUGAUGACAUUAUGCUCACAUCUGAUUCUCUUCCAGAUCUACAAGGUGCAGCACCCGGAGUGCUGCAGCAUCUACAGGAGAAAGGAUGACAGGAGGGACAGAAGUUGGGGCCAGCUAUCACUUUCUGCCUGGCCUCCUGGUUGGCUGCUGGUGGCAGAGGGAUCUGUGAUGUAAGCCCGGGGAGAGGAAAUCCCAGGGCAAAAUACCUUUAACAACAGAAAUCAGUCAAAGGAAGAAAUAAAGUUUAAAAUUCAUUUAUUGCUUAUAAA